GUAGGUGAACCUGCGGAAGGAUCAUUAUUGAGUUAGGGUCCUUUGGGCCCCAUCUCCAACCCUUGUCUGUUCUACUAUGUUGCUUUGGCGGGCCCGUCUUUAACUUGACCGCCGGGGAUCUCGGUCCUUGGCCAGUGCCCGCCAAGAGCCCCCACAAAUUCUGUAAACAGUGAUGUCUAAGUCUUAAACAAAAUAACUAAAACUUUCAACAACGGAUCUCUUGGUUCUG
rnacentral:misc_RNA from 1 species